UGGAUUUAUUUCUUCCACGAACUGAGGGAAUAAAGUGGGGUUUUUUUCCUUGAACAAAUUAGCUUACCCAAGUUUCUGCAUAUUUUCUUCAGCUGCCUUAGAACUAUAUCUAUGUUUUAUUCACAGGAAAGGACUAGAGCAGGAUCUCAGGAAGAGAGAAGCUAUAGGGCUGCAGAGAAGUUUUGGUCCAGUUUCUCUACCCAGAGGUGUCCAGGGUUUCCAGAAACAGAGUCACUCUCCUCUGUCCCCAGAAGGUCCCAUGUUCACUGCAACAGGAUUCAUACAACGUCUGUCAGAAAUGCACAGCAUGGAAAAAGAUCUUACAUUGAAAGCAGAACUCUAAAGGAAAGAAGAGUGAUACAGCUAUAUAUAUAUAUACAUCAGGCUAGAAAAAAAGGUGAGCUAAAAGAGUUUAAAAUUUCCUUGCCUUUCUGCAUCAAGAUUGCUAUUUCUUAUAACCAAUCUUUCCUUAAUUGGAAAAUUGUUGCUGCACACUGCAGAAAAUGAGAGGUGGAUUUAUUUCUACAUAUGGAUCCUGUUUAGUUUACUAUGUUAAAUAAGAAAAAAGCAUAUAUGAAAUCUGACAAAAGUGGAUGCUUAGACUGAAAAAAAAAAUACUUACAGUAACA
rnacentral:lncRNA from 1 species